rnacentral:rRNA from 1 species
UACGUAGGGCGCAAGCGUUGUCCGGAAUUAUUGGGCGUAAAGAGCUCGUAGGCGGCUUGUCACGUCGGGUGUGAAAGCCCGGGGCUUAACCCCCGGGUCUGCAUUCGAUACGGGCUAGCUAGAGUGUGGUAGGGGAGAUCGGAAUUCCUGGUGUAGCGGUGAAAUGCGCAGAUAUCCGAGGAACGACCGUGCGGAGGCGGCUAGCCUGGACCGAUCCAUGGACCGCUGAUUGACGUGACCGGCUA